ACCUGCCAUGUUCCACAGACACUUGAGUUUCCAGCUCCCGGAAUACCGUGAUGCCAAACAAAUUAAAAAAAUGAAAAUGAUCGUCUGUCUCGGGGAGUUUACAGGGGUGAGGAUUAAACUUGACAACCUAUGAGAAUCCCUCGCCUGGGAGCUGGGAGCUGGGAGCGGGCGGCGGGAGGAAGGAGCCGUGAACGCGGUGGGAGGUGAGCUGGCGGGGUUUGAGGAAGUCAGGAGGUCCGGCGAGGACCAGAGGGAGCCUGGAGGGAGAUGGCCGUGGACAGCGGGCUCAGGGGAGGAGCUGGUAUGACAAGGAUGCCACGCGGUUCCUCCAAAGCUCUGGAAAGUUCCGGAAACUUCAGUUGGCACAGCAGCAGUGAGGCAGAGGCCCAGGGAUCCAAGUCGGGAACAAUGUGAAGACCAGCUGUUCCAGCGCUGACUCCGGACUGCCGAGACGGAGCAAAAGGGACCUUCGAUUGGCUGGGUGUCCCUCGAGAGGUUCUUGGGCUGCUCUUACUGGAAUCUGCAACUCUUGUAAAAAGCUGCCUGGGGCAUGACUCACACAGUUGAUGUCCAAACCGCUGCCUCCGCAGCACACCCUGCCCCCCUCCCCCUUCUGCAGCUGCAAUCCGAGAGGCAUCUAUUUCCUCUAGGGAGGGACCCUGGGACCUGGCACCAGCAUCCUGGCCUGGCCGGCUGUCUUUGCACACUGCAGGUAGCCAGAAUUUCCUGGCUUUUGGGGAAAAAAUCAGACAGUGUGAAGACACCAGAGCAGCAUAAGUCACCCCAUCGGUGGACCCAUUUCUAGAAGGAGCAAGAUUCUUGCCCCGUGAGGUGGAAGGAGACAAGGAGAUGGAGGUUCGAAUCCCAGUUCUGCGCAUCUUGAGCCGUGUGGCUAUAGGCGUGGCUUUCCUGAGUUCUCUGAGCUUUAGCUGUCCACCUGCAGCCGUGGGCUGAUUCCCAGCCCAGGGGUGUUAUUGCAGCGUUGGCCGAGAUGGUAGAUGUGCAUUGCUUCCGGGCAGUCUGGCUUAGGCAUGCGCGAACAUUUUGGUUUCCCUCUGUUCUCAGCUUCUGCAUUCCUCAAAGGACACGCAUCAUAGUCAUUUUCAUUUAAGCCUUCAGGAUCUUUACAAAAGGGGCUUAUUUAUCUGUUUAUUUUUAUUUAUUUGAACGCUGGAGAGAGCGAGAGAGGGCAAAAGCAUCUUUCAUCGACUGGUUCACUUCCCAAAUGCCCGUAGCAGCCAAAGUCGGGAGCCUGGAACCCAAUCCAGGUCUCCUACGUGGGAGGCAGGGGCCCAAGGACUUGAGCCAUCACCCACUGCUUCCCAGGGUGCGCAUCUGCAAGGAGCUGGAUGGGACGUGGAGGUGGGAAUGGAUCCCAGACAUUCCUGGACUUGACUCCAGGCGUUCUGAGUGGAGGCGUAAGCUGCUGCCCCACGACGCCCAUUCCAGCUUCAGGAUCCGGCUCAACCACAGGAGGAAUUUGUGUGCACAUGAGGAACCUCAGUGUUUGCAAACUUUGUGCUCCUCGUGGCCCCCCUUCAUCUGGUCACCAUCAAGUCUGAACCAAGCCCCUGCCAGGCUGGGUCAAAGGGCGUGAGGGCUGCAACGCUAUGUGGUUUGGGAAGUCAGAGAUCCAGACCAAUGAGCUGGGGGUGCAGGACGUGGCUGGGCUAAGGGCUCAUGGAAAACGAGGGUGUAUGUGGACCUUGGAUCUGGAGGGUCUGUGAAAAACUGUGGAACUUCUUUAAUUUUUGAAGAUUUAUUUGUUUAUUGGGGAGAGAGAAUGAAAGAGAGAGAGAAUCUUCAAUUCGCUGGUUCACUCCCCAAAUGACUGCAAUGGCUAAGGCUCAUCUGGGUUGAAGCCAGGAGCUCAGAAUUCCACCUGGGUCUCACAGGUGGAUAGCAGGGGCCCAGCUACUUGGGCCACCCUCUGCUGCUUUCCCAGGUGCAUCAGCAGGGAGCUGGUUUGGAACUGGAGCCACCACUCUGACAUGGGAUGCUGCCUCUAUGCUGUGGAACCUCUGAGAAGCCCAGGGAAUGAAAAGUAAAGCAUCCCUAGUGGGGCUGGACAGGUGUGGUGGGGGAAAUGUGUUCCUGGCACACAGGAGAUCCCCAGUAAGUGCUGGGAAUGAAUGCAUUGGAGGAUGGGGGAAGGACCAGGUGAGCGGGCAAACCAGUGGUGGCCUCGGGGGAUGUAGAUGCAUCAGAAAGGACACACUUGGGCCCCUACCCUGCCCGGCUUUCCCACAGCUUCCUCACCAUCCUGCAGGCUCGCUGUCUGCUGAUUCAUUUGUCAUCUGCGUCACCUGCCGGGCGACAAACCCCUCCUGCACAGCGCAGGGACGUGCUUGCCUUCUCCUCCUCCUCCGGUGCCUAGGACAGAGCUUGGCCCAAAGCCGAGCCUCCGCAGGUACUUCUGACUCCAUGAGUGAGUGUGUGCGAGCUGUUACAGGGAUGAAUGGGCUUGAGAAGACCUGGGAGAAAGAUCCACAGUGCUUCUCCACCUGGGGCUGCGAGCAAAGGCAGAGUCCCUGGCCCCGCUCCCGGCGCACAGAGUCGGAGUCUGGGGGAGCUGCCCAGGUGGUUCGGAAGUAGAUUUUUUUUUUUUUUACAAAGUUUUAUUUAUUUAUUUGAAAGAGUUAUAGAGAAAGAGGGAAGGAGAGAGGGAGAGAGAGAGAUUUUCUAUUGGCUGGUUCACUCCCCAAAUGGCUACAACAACCGGGGCUGGGACAGGUCAAAGCCAGGAGCCUGGAACUCCAUCCAAGUCUCCCACGUGGGCGCAGGAGGUCCAAGCACUUAUGGCAUCUUCUGCUGCUUUCCCAGGUGCAUUAGCAGGGAGCUGGAUUGGAAGUGGAGAAGCUGGGACUUGAACCGGCAGCCAUAUAGAAUGCUGGCACUGCAGGUGGCGGCUUUACCCACUGUGCUACAAUUCACAUGUUUCUGUAUCACUUUUGCAUUGAUGUAUUUUAUUUAUUUAUUUUUGACAGGCAGAGCGGACAGUGAGAGAGAGAGAGAGACAGAAAGGUCUUCCUUUUUGCCGUUGGUUCACCUCCAAUGGCCGCCGCGGCCGGCGCAUCGCACUGAUCCAAAUCUAGGAGCCAGGUGCUUCUCCUGGUCUCCCAUGGGGUGCAGGGCCCAAGUACUUGGGCCAUCCUCCACUGCACUCCUGGGCCAUAGCAGACGGCUGGGCUGGCCUGGAAGAGGGGCAACCGGGACAGAAUCCAGCGCCCCGACCGGCACUAGAACCCUGUGUGCUGGCGCUGCAGGUGGAGGACUAGCCUAUUGAGCCACGGUGCCGGCCUGCAUUGAUGUAAAGGAGGACAGAACUCUCUCCAAAAGUCCCAUCUGAAAUUGAUACACCAGCCCUCCCCCAACACGCCCUCCAAAUGUUCCACUUGCUCACACACUAUAAAAGACACCUGCUUUUCACUUUCUCUUGUUCGUUAUCUGAUAGUCUCUGCCCUCCUGUUUCUGACUGAGGCUUUGUGUUGGGACUGCACUUCAGAAAAUAAACAUCAAAGUCGGAGAUGGCAACUUCAGUACUCCAUCUCCCCGGGUGCCAGCUGUCGAUGCUGUAACUCAUUAACCAAAUAACAGCCACAGCUGGGCACCGAGCAAAUGCAUGUGACGCAACAACGAUGAUAAGUGCAAUUGCAGCUCGUUGGAAGUACAGCUCCCAAGUUCCUCUCUCCGUGAGACUGACGCCUUACUGUAAGGGAAGAGGAAUUUUCCUAUUGUUAUGUAACUUUGAAAUUUUCUCCUCUGCUCUUUUGCUUUCUUUCCUAACUUAUCAGCAUUACCUGUCCCUAAAGGAAUUUAUUCAGUUAUCCUCAAGAAAUAUAUGCCACAGUGUAAAUGUUUAGGUGGCCACAGAGAGAUGGAAUUUUGCAGAGAGAGCUAAACAGGGAGCUAACACAGUCACCCCCAGCGACCUACCUCACAUUUAUAGCAUCCACUGGCGGGACACAGGGCUCUGGCCCUCAGGUUUGGUGGAAGUGUUGUUUUCUUCUGGUGAUGGAAGAAUGGAAGUAGGGCAACUACACUGGGGCUGUUGCUGGGGGUAGCGGUGGUAGGGUGAUGGUGAUGAUGGUGAUGGUGGUGAUGAUGGUGAUGGUGGUGAUGAUGAUGAUGAUGGUGAUGGUGGUGAUGAUGGUGAUGGUGGUGAUGAUGAUGGUGAUGGUGAUGUGGUGGUGAUGAUGGUGAUGGUGAUGGUAGUGAUGAUGGUGAUGGUGGUGAUGAUGAUGUGGUGGUGAUGAUGGUGAUGGUGGUGAUGGUAGUGAUGAUGGUGAUGAUGGUGAUGGCACUGGUGGAGUUGUUAUGGUGACGGUGGUGAUUUUGGUGGCAGUGGUGGUGGUGAUAUUUGUGAUGGUGGUGAUGGUGAUGGUGUUAGUGGAGACUGUACUUGUUAUGAUGGUGACGUGGUGGUGGUGCUGGUGGUGCUGGUGAUGUGAUGGCAUCCACGUGUCUGUAUCUGUGCAUGUGUAUUGCAGAAAACAGUCUCAUCUUUAAUUACAAUACAUCUGGCAAUUCUCAGUCGUUCCUUCUGGCCCUGCAUAUAACAAUCUUGCCUUUCCUUUCUCUGUUGCUGGCUCCAUCACCACCCCAGCCCCAGCCCCAGCCCCAGCCCUUGUCUUGAAUCCUAGAAGCCAACGUUGAUCCUAUUCGCUCACAGGCGCCUGCUACCUCUGGGAGAGUCCCUGCCCGUUGCACCUCACAAGGCUCUUUCUUCCCCAUUCUCUUGCUGCCACGGUUGUUCUCACCUAAACUAGUGCCCAGGCGGUACAGCUCCCCACACACCUGCAUAUCACUGACAGUUUAAGCUUUCUAGCCCAGCAACUUGAUUCCUAUGGCUCCCAAGUUACCCACUGCAGAGACAGAUGAACUCAUCAGCGUGUUGUCAAGGGGUUUCACAAGGAACCCUCUACCUCCCAGGCCAAGCGUAGCCCCUGUGCGCUGGUCUUCUGCCUCUGGGUACUGGCCCAUGCUGUCUUCAUGCCCAGGAGCGCCUGCCUUUAGCAUCUCACGUCAGUAGGAGUCCUGUCCCCCACUGCAGACCUCACAGAGUGCCCCCAGCGGGCAUCUUUAGCGAGUCUUCUGGAUACUAUGCCAGGUGCUGGGGAAAUCAGAGUCGAUAAAACAUCGCCCCUGCUCUGAGUUUAUGCUCUAACAGAGAAGAAGCCUAGAGGAGCAGACCAUGCAAUGAAACUGAUUGUUUUAAGAAUUCAGAUUUUUGUGGAAGCCCAGAGAGAGGACACUUGACUCACACCUUUCCUGAGGGGUCGGGAGAGCAGGGAACUGGGUGAGUUGGUAGAGAGGAAGCUGUGCCUGGGCUGAGUCGAGGCGGAUAAGCAGAAUUUAGGUGAAGAUCACAGGGCAGGGCAUGAGUCAAAGAAGGGGGCGGGGCCGACAUAAGAAAUGUGAGAUGGAGCUGGUGACAGCACCGCAAAAAGGCUCCGGGCCAGCGGCUCAGUCCCAGGGGACAUCUUUGGACCGGCUGAACCUUGGCACAGUUGGUUGAAGAGAGGAAGAGAGAGGGAUUUUUCUCCUGGGUCUCGACGCUCAGGGAUCAAAGCUUAUCCCACGGGGACAUAACAUUUGCACAGGAAGAGUAGCCCCUCAGGGAAGCUGCUGGGAGGAAGCCAGCUCCCAGGACCUGCUGUGCUGUGCUUUGUCCAAGUCUAGACUUGAUGGCAAGAGCAGAGUCACCAGCAGUCUGCGGUGGCCUUGAACUUGAGCGCCAAGCUGCCAUGACUGGUGCUACGGUGAGCGCAGGGAAGUUGGCAGCCCGGCCCCAGCCUCGCCCCAGAGGAGCAAGCCAGCAGUGAGGCCGUGGCGGCUUUGGUGGUGGUCCUGGGGUCAGGGACACGAUCUACCACUUGGCUUUCUCGGCUAUAUUUGUGCCUUCCCAGGAUGCCCAGCUUCCACAGUGCACCACCUGGUCUCAGUAUCUGGAAAAUAAGGUUACUGAGGAAGGCGACUUCAGGAGCAGAGAAGGAUGAGCUGGGAGGCUACUGCAAUAGUCCUAGCAACAGAUGAUAAUCAUCUCGACUAGGAUCAGUGGUGGAGGUGGGAUGGAGCAGGAGAACUUAAGAAAUGGUUGAGAGAGCCGGCGCCGCGGCUCACUAGGCUAAUCCUCCACCUUGUGGCGCCGGCACACCAGGUUCUAGUCCCGGUCAGGGCGCCGGAUUCUGUCCCGGUUGCUCCUCUUCCAGGCCAGCUCUCUUCUGUGGCCAGGGAGUGCAGUGGAGGAUGGCCCAAGUGCUUGGGCCCUGCACCCCAUGGGAGACCAGGAGAAGCACCUGGCUCCUGCCAUUGGAUCAGCACGGCGCGCCGGCCACGGCAGCCAUUGGAGGGUGAACCAACGGCAAAGGAAGACCUUUCUCUCUGU